rnacentral:rRNA from 1 species
UUCUCUAGAAAUGUUUUAGAGUAAAACCUGCUCAAUGAAUAAUUUAAAAGCCGCAGUAAUUUAACUGUGCUAAGGUAGCAUAAUCAUUAGCCUCUUAAUUAGAGGCUAGAAUGAAUGGUUUAACAUUUCCUUAACUUUUUUAAAAAUUUUUAAAAAAUUUAUAUUAAAUAUAAAAAUAUAUUUAUAUUAUAAUUAGACGACAAGACCCUUUCAAACUUUACUGAAGUUUAGCUGGGGUAGCUUAAUAAUUAAUAUCUUAUUGUUUUAACUAAAAAUAGACCCAAUUCAAAUUGAUUAAAUGAACAAGUUACUGAAGGGAUAACAGCAUAAUAAAUUUAUAUAGCUCUUAUUUAAAAAUUAGUUUAUGACCUCGAUGUUGAAUUAUUUUACUUAUACACGCAAGAGUGUGUGAAGUAGGUCUGUUCGACCUUUAAAUUUUACAUGAUCUGAG